rnacentral:rRNA from 1 species
AGGAUGAACGCUGGCGGCGUGCCUAAUACAUGCAAGUCGAGCGGUAAGGCUACUUCGGUAGUACACGAGCGGCGGACGGCUGAGUAACACGUAGGAACGUACCCCAAAGUGAGGCAUAAGCACCAGAAAUGGUGUCUAAUACCGCAUAUGGUCUUCGGAUUAAAGCUUCGGCGCUUUGGGAACGGCCUGCGCAUGAUUAGCUUGUUGGUGAGGUAAUAGCUCACCAAGGCGACGAUCAUUAGCUGGUCUGAGAGGAUGACCAGCCAGACUGGGACUGAGAACGGCCCAGACUCCUACGGGAGGCAGCAGUAGGGAAUUUUCCACAAUGGGCGAAAGCCUGAUGGAGCAACGCCGCGUGCAGGAUGAAUGCCUUCGGGUUGUAAACUGCUUUUAUAUGUGACGAUUAUGACGGUAGCAUAUGAAUAAGGAUCGGCUAACUCCGCGCCAGCAGCCGCGGU